CCUAUAGCUCAGGGGAUAGAGUGACGGAUUCCGAAUCCGGAGGCCGUAGGUUCAAAUCCUACUAGGC
rnacentral:tRNA from 1 species